rnacentral:rRNA from 1 species
CAGCACAUCAAGUGGUCAGGAUGAUUAUUGGGCCUAAAGCAUCCGUAGCCGGCUCUGUAAGUUUUCGGUUAAAUCUGUACGCUCAACGUACAGGCUGCCGGGAAUACUGCAGAGCUAGGGAGUGGGAGAGGUAGACGGUACUCGGUAGGAAGGGGUAAAAUCCUUUGAUCUAUUGAUGACCACCUGUGGCGAAGGCGGUCUACCAGAACACGUCCGACCGUGAGGGAUGAAAGCUGGGGGAGCAAACCGGAUUAGAGACCCGAGUAGUCC